rnacentral:rRNA from 1 species
GAUGAACGCUGGCGGCGCGCCUAACACAUGCAAGUCGAACGGCACCCACCUCCGGGUGGAAGCGAGUGGCGAACGGCUGAGUAACACGUGGAGAACCUGCCCCCUCCCCCGGGAUAGCCGCCCGAAAGGACGGGUAAUACCGGAUAAGCGCACAGCAUCGCAUGAUGCAGUGUGAAAAACUCCGGUGGUGUGAGAUGGACCCGCGUUGGAUUAGCUAGUUGGCAGGGCAGCGGCCUACCAAGGCGACGAUCCAUAGCCGGCCUGAGAGGGUGAACGGCCACAUUGGGACUGAGACACGGCCCAG